UGGAAUCUAUCAUUUGUGAUAAUAAUAACAAUAAUAUUAAUAAUAUAGUUUAUUGCCUCAAAUUGAAGUCAAGCACCCUAAUAACAUGGUACCACUUUCAUUCUCAGUGCUUACAGACAUGAGUGUAAACUACAUUGAGCAGUCCAUAACCUCUAUAGAUGGAACAACACAUGCUACCACAGCCACGGAAGCUUUAAGAAAGUUAGCCAACUAGGAUUGAUUCCCUGCAUUUGGUGUAUUGUGCCAUUAUGACAACUGAAGAAGUUUGUCUUGCAAGCUUCUGUUUAUCAAGAAAGCUAUUCCUCCACACUAGCGUCUUACAGAAGAAUUGAACCAAUCACUGACCUCCCACUAUCGGUCAGCUCAUCCAGAAGAUUAUCGAGUUUCCUGAGCCUUGUUAAGUAGUACAAAAGGCCACCAAAGUGUCGAGUAGAUCUCAGCAGUUCAAAUUUGCUGUUAGCAUUGAUAUCAUCAUACACAUGCUGGUGCACCUGUUGAGCAAGUCCAAUGAAAACUUUGUUUUAGAUUAUGAAUAACAUCUUCCUUGAUCUCUAAACUGAGGCCUGUGCAAUAUAAUGAGAAUUGCUGACAAGACAUUUAGAUGAAACCUUACUCGUAUGAAAUCAGGCGAGUCAGGUUCACACUGCACACAAACCAGGUCAAGAACAUCUUCGUGACGAUUUUGAGACAAUGGUACCUACAAGAAACCACAAACAGA